rnacentral:sRNA from 1 species
UUCCACCAUAACAACUAUGAAACAGAGGUAAACGAAGAAGACGAAGAAGAAGAAGAAGAUGU